rnacentral:sRNA from 1 species
GCUGGGCGUGGUGGCACACACCUGUAAUCCCAGCGGCUCUGGAGGCUGAGGUAGGAGGAUCUCAAGUUCAAAGCCAGCCUCAGCAAUGCCGUGGCACUAAGCAACUCAGUGAGACCCUGUCUCUA